rnacentral:rRNA from 1 species
AACGAACGCUGGCGGCAUGCCUAACACAUGCAAGUCGAACGUGAUCCGGGACUUCGGUUUCGGUGAAAGUGGCGGACGGGUGAGUAACGCGUGGGAACCUGCCCAGUGGUAGGGGAUAACCGCGGGAAACUGCGGCUAAUACCCUAUGUGCCCUGCGGGGCAAAGAUUCAUCGCCAUUGGAGGGGCCCGCGUCGGAUUAGGUAGUUGGUGGGGUAACGGCCGUACCAAGCCUUCGAUCCGUAGCUGGUCNGAGAGGAUGAUCAGCCACACUGGGACUGAGACACGGCCCA